AUGACGUCAAAUCAUCAUGCCCCUUAUGACCAGGGCUACACACGUGCUACAAUGGCGUAAACAAAGGGAGGCAAUCCCGCGAGGGGGAGCAAAUCCCAAAAAUAACGUCUCAGUUCGGACUGCAGUCUGCAACUCGACUGCACGAAGCUGGAAUCGCUAGUAAUCGCGAAUCAGAAUGUCGCGGUGAAUACGUUCCCGGGUCUUGUACACACCGCCCGUCACACCAUGGGAGUUGGCAACGCCCGAAGUCAGUGACCCAACCGCAAGGAGGGAGCUGCCGAAGGUGGGGCCAGUAACUGGGGUGAAGUCGUAACAAGGUAGCCGUAUCGGAAGGUGCGGCUGGAUCACCUCCUUU
rnacentral:ncRNA from 1 species